UACGGAGGGGGCUAGCGUUGUUCGGAAUUACUGGGCGUAAAGCGCACGUAGGCGGCUUUGUAAGUUAGAGGUGAAAGCCCGGGGCUCAACCCCGGAAUUGCCUUUAAGACUGCAUCGCUUGAAUUGUGGAGAGGUAAGUGGAAUUCCGAGUGUAGAGGUGAAAUUCGUAGAUAUUCGGAAGAACACCAGUGCCGAAGGCGACUUACUGGACACAUAUUGACGCUGAGGUGCGAAAGCGUGGGGAGCAAACAGG
rnacentral:rRNA from 1 species